UNGACAAUCUGGUUGAUCCUGCCAGUCACAUACGCUUGUCUCAAGGAUUAAGCCAUGCAUGUCUAAGUAUAAACAAUUUUGUACUGUGAAACUGCGAAUAGCUCAUUAUAUCAGUUAUAGUUUAUUUGAUAGUACCUUACUACUUGGAUAACCGUAGUAAUUCUAGAGCUAAUACAUGCAUAAAUACCCGACUUUUUGGAAGGGUAGCAUUUAUUAGAAAGAAACCAAUGCGGCUUUGCCGGUAUUGAGUUGAAUCAUAAUAACUGUGCGGAUCGCACUCUGUGCGAUAAAUCAUAUAAGUUUCUGCCCUAUCAGGUUUGGAUGGUAGGGUAUUGGCCUACCAUGCCAGUAACGGGUAACGGAGUAUUAGGGUACGAUUCCGGAGAGGGAGCCUUAAAGACAGCUACCACUUCUAAGGAAGGCAGCAGGCGCGUAAAUUACCCAAUCCUGACACAGGGAGGUAGCGACAAUAAAUAACAANGCCGGGCUUUUUAAAGUCUGGCAAUUGGAAUGAGAACAAUUAAAUCCCU
rnacentral:rRNA from 1 species